GGGAAGUUAUCGCACCCAAAUGGGCUACUACUGUUCGUCCUCUUGGAGGUGUGGCAUUCCGCGCAGAACUGCAAUCUCUGUCUCUCUGCGAGUAAAACGCAUUGCCGUAGGCGUCGAUCAGCUAAUUCGUCAUCGUUAAAUUGCAGGAAGCCCGAGCGAUGAGAGCGAUGAUCGAGGAUGCGGAUGCGCGAGGUUUAAUGCUUAUUCAAUCCACUAUUUGCUCCGAGGAGAGGAUUCCGGUUCAGAAGAAUUGACACAUUGAUGCCUGGUUGACGGUGAACGGCGGCAAACUUCGGAAUCGGCACUUCUCAGAAAUUUAUGGAGCUGUUUCUUACUGCAUCAUUACCCUUGAAAUCCAAAAAGGGGAGGAAUAACCGGUCCAUUAUACUCAUACUCUCCCUGGACCAAGAAAUCUGUGGUUAGUUGAAGUUUUGUCUAAAUGAAGCUUAUGUCACUAACCAUUUGAAAUUAUCUAUAUGCUUGGAACUCUGAUCUUUUAUUGGUUGUUCCUGUCAUGGGAUUAUAUUCUUGAACUUCCCCGCUUAAACAACUUGAGAUCCCAAGUCGGUUAGAGAGGGGAAUGAAACAUUCCUUAUAAAGAUGUAAAAACUUCUCUCUAGCAGACGCGUUUUAAAACUGUGAGAUUGAUGACGAUACGAAACGGGCUAAAGUGGACAAUAUCUGCUGGCGGUAGGUUUAGGUUGUUACAAAUGGUACUCGAGUCAAACACCGAACGGUGUGCAAGCGAGGACGUUGGGCUCCCAAGAGAGUGGAUUGUGAGACCCCACAUCGGUUGAAGAGG